GGAAAAUUUUGAAUCACAAAUAUGACAAAGAUUUUCUUUGAAAAGUUUCGAGGAUUCGAGUUUCUUAAUAAAAAUCAUCACAUCUUCAUUUAUAGCAUGCUUAUCAAUCUAUCUUUCAUCCAUGAAUGCUACGUAAAUAGAUUUUCACUUUAAAUGCAGAUCAAUCUUAAUUAACUCGUCUCGAUUUUCUUAAUUGCUCAGAUGAUUACAUAUUCAUUAAAAAGUUUUCUAAUUCAUUUUUUUUUUAAUCAUUAUGGAAACAUGUACAAAAAACAAUACAAGAAUAAAUACAAAUAUAUAUUUUGAAUAUUAAUGCAUAUGUAAUUUAAAAGAAAUAUACAUAAGAAAGAAAACUUGGAAGACUUACCAGGCGUGAGAGACAUAGUCUGUUGCCUUCUCGACCUCGAAUUGUCCCGUUUUCCAUUGGAAGACUGAGAUCCUGAGACCUGAAGUCCCGGAGCACUGACCGCACGUUUUGGUCCUCCCAGUACACCAGGAACGUUGCUGUUCCUCGCGAAUCCUGGAGGACGGUAUCUGGCUGAUUUCACGCCAGAAUGUUGAGGCAGAAAAUGAUAGACACUGUGCGCUUUGUGCAUUGUCGUUGAUGGCGUGGUUGACGUCGUCGUUAAACCGGAAGGUGCAAUGGAUGCUGGUAAACGUGGUAAAGAAUUGGUA